CUUUAACAAGUACUAUCCUGAUGAACUAUCCAACUUGACUUCUGAAAAGUAACUAUUAAAUGGAGAGAAGAAACCAUAAAAUGGAGGACAAAACACCAUUCCUGUUCACAACGAAGGAGCCACAGCCCAUGACCUCCAAUGGCAAGGCUUUGCCACCACCAAGGGGCACAGAGUGCAAUGAGCGGCGCUGAGCUGAGCAGUGAGGAGAUGGCUGCACAACUAGCGUGGAAGCUUUGACUUUAUGUGUUUGCAACCGAAUGUAAGAAAUACUUGGAGAGUUCCCAACCUGGAA